rnacentral:rRNA from 2 species
UAUCACUUUGGAUGGACCUGCGGUGCAUUAGCUUGUUGGUGGGGUAACGGCCUACCAAGGCGAUGAUGCAUAGCCGAGUUGAGAGACUGAUCGGCCACAAUGGGACUGAGACACGGCCCAUACUCCUACGGGAGGCAGCAGUAGGGAAUCUUCCACAAUGGGCGCAAGCCUGAUGGAGCAACACCGCGUGAGUGAAGAAGGGUUUCGGCUCGUAAAGCUCUGUUGUUAAAGAAGAACACGUAUGAGAGUAACUGUUCAUACGUUGACGGUAUUUAACCAGAAAGUCACGGCUAACUACGUGCCAGCAGCCGCGGUAAUACGUAGGUGGCAAGCGUUAUCCGGAUUUAUUGGGCGUAAAGAGAGUGCAGGCGGUUUUCUAAGUCUGAUGUGAAAGCCUUCGGCUUAACCGGAGAAGUGCAUCGGAAACUGGAUAACUUGAGUGCAGAAGAGGGUAGUGGAACUCCAUGUGUAGCGGUGGAAUGCGUAGAUAUAUGGAAGAACACCAGUGGCGAAGGCGGCUACCUGGUCUGCAACUGACGCUGAGACUCGAAAGCAUGGGUAGCGAACAGGAUUAGAUACCCUGGUAGUCCAUGCCGUAAACGAUGAGUGCUAGGUGUUGGAGGGUUUCCGCCCUUCAGUGCCGGAGCUAACGCAUUAAGCACUCCGCCUGGGGAGUACGACCGCAAGGUUGAAACUCAAAGGAAUUGACGGGGGCCCGCACAAGCGGUUGAGCAUGUGGUUUAAUUCGAAGCUACGCGAAGAACCUUACCAGGUAUAGACAUCUUGCGCCACCCCUAGAGAUAGGGCGUUUC